ACCCUGCACAGGAAGCUGGCUACCUGGGAGUCAACUCUUAGUGAAAAUCUACUUCAAAUCAAGGAAGCAUGGGCAAAUGGAGGUGAAACAAAGUAUCAACUUGUAGGAGAUAACUGGGAUAAAAACAUUCUUCCUUCAUAUAGGACAACGGAAAGAGGAACACUUUCUUUGCACCUUUUCAAUGUGUAUGCAGUAGUGGAUAGAGUUAUUCCCACAUCUAAGUCUCCUGAUGUCGGCGUGCACACUCAAGUUGACCUAUCUCUGCUAACUUUUAUCCCCUCGAUUGAUGAACAAGACAUUCUCCUUAAAGAGCUUACAUUUCAGUUUGCAUCCUCUGUAAUUGAACAUCAUCCAAAACUGAAACAAAAUUUUCAGCACAUAUACCCAAUUCACCUCAAGCACAAAUACAGCCAGUUUGCCGGACUUAAAACAACUCAGGUGACAGACUCACAGAUGAACGAGUAAAUGGUGCCCAGUGUGCAAUGAAAAAUGAAAAUUCACCUACAGAGAGAUUAGAAGGCUUCAUCUCUAAAAUUGAGGAUUUCCACCGCCUUAUGAACUUUUUAGAGGCUAUCCACAAACUGACCUACGACACAGGAAGUGGGCGUGAUCCUUGCACCAUGUAUUACUAUAGAAACCUUCUGAAUGCAAGAAAUGUGAAGGGACAUGUGAAGAAUUCUUACAGGCCUUACAAGCAGCUCUUUUAUACAGUCCUUGAUGCUUUGUGCAUUGUACAUUUUUUACAUCAUUUUCAUCUUGCUGAUCUGGAUUCAGAAAUUCCAUUCCCAGACAAUUUUAUGCAAAUGACCAAUGAAGACAAAAUAGACUGGUUGAAUGAAACCUGCAGAACAAUAUUGAAAGGUGAAUUCUUUGAUAAUGAAGACGACAUUUUCUCCUCCUUGAGAAAAAUACUGGAAGAUCCAAAUCAUGAAGAAAACUACUGGGUAUCUUGCCGCCAGAAUCAGAGAUUUCAUUGUCAUUUCUGUGACAGAAAUUAUGCUUGUGUAGGAUCUCUAAAAGCACACGAAGAGAGAGUUCACAACUAUAUUGCUAGGGUGCAGAAAAAAACACAGAGCAAAGAACAAAGAAAACUAAAGGACUACAUCAGUAUGCUGUUCAAAUUAAUUUUGAUUCACAGAAACCUGGAUGAGGCCGUAGACAUGGGAGACGGAGAACGUUCUACAAGAUCUGCGAAAUAUGAACUUCCCAUUUACCACAAAACGGGGAAAACGAAAUACACAAUUGGAUCUAUACACCUCACUGCACUUGUUUCAGGGCUGCUUUCACCUCAGCAAACUGAGCGUCUUAUUGCAAACCGUUUUGUGAAUGUGCAAGGAGGUGCCAAUAACAAUAUUGCUCUUGAUGAAUAUCUUGAGAUGCUCAAUAGAGACAGCAAAAUUGCGUGCAGGGGCCACCAAACAAAGGAAAGUAUCCUCAAGCAUUCAAAGGAAUACCCUCUUCUUGUAGAAAUGACCAAACAUGUGGAAAAAAUCAGCAGUGCAAGUGUACGAAAAGGUUUUCACCAUUUGCCAUCAUACACAGCUGAUGUGCAACUUGUCCUGAAAGACCUGCUGGAAAGAAAUGCUGUUCAGAGUGAAGAGGAAAUCAAAUGUAAAAACUUAAUUGCAGAACGAAACCCAUUUGACAAAUGUGCAAGUAAACUAUCAACAAUGAUUCAAAGGCAUAACCCAACAUCCCCAUAUUGCAGACUGAAAGACCCUCAUGUUUAAAUGACUAUGUAUGUACAUAGUAAUUCACUUCUUAAUUUUUCUGAUAGAAUGCAGUUGUUCAUAAUUAAAAAUCUUAUUACCAAAUCUGCAAUAGACUGACUGAAUUUUAAAUGCAAGUUGACAUUUGUUUACUUCAUAAGUUAAUUACCAAGAUGUGACUAUUUGAACUUUACAAGUACCUAAUAUCACUGUUUAUUUGCAGAAUGUGCAGAACAUUGAUUAUACUGUAAUUCAAAAUACUGCUCAGACUGUCAAGUACAUGUAGAUACUAAAUGUUGAAAUUAACCAUUGUGUAAAUGCAUAAGCAUGUGAACUGUAUGUUAAAAUCAUGCCCACGUAAAGACUCAUUAAGUACAUGUAAAAAUAAAGAAGUAAAACAUAAGCUAAUUAUCUUUAUUAACAUGAGCAAAAGAUGUAUUAAAAAUAAAAGAUUACAAGGAUG
rnacentral:misc_RNA from 1 species